UACGUAGGGUGCGAGCGUUAAUCGGAAUUACUGGGCGUAAAGCGUGCGCAGGCGGCUUCGCAAGUCAGGCGUGAAAUCCCCGGGCUCAACCUGGGAAUUGCAUCUGUGACUGCAUCGCUAGAGUACGGUAGAGGGGGAUGGAAUUCCGCGUGUAGCAGUGAAAUGCGUAGAUAUGCGGAGGAACACCGAUGGCGAAGGCAAUCCCCUGGACCUGUACUGACGCUCAUGCACGAAAGCGUGGGGAGCAAACAGG
rnacentral:rRNA from 1 species